GACACAGUUGGUCAUUCUGUUCCAACAAACUAAUGGUCUAAACAUAUUCCUAACGAUCUAACAAACUUUUCUGAAAGCCUAAGUGAGCUUCCUCUAUAUUAAGAGGGACAGAGUACUCUCUGGAAGGCAAGUCAUAACUUAUAGAGAUCAAACUCUGCUAAAUUUUUCAAUUGAAGAGAAUCAGAGUUCUCUCCACUUUUUUUCACUUUCAAACUCUUAUUUUUUGCUUUCUACUUCUCCAUU
rnacentral:lncRNA from 1 species